UGGACGAAAGUCUGACGGAGCAACGCCGCGUGAACGAUGAAGGCUUUCGGGUCGUAAAGUUCUGUUGUCAGGGAAGAACAAGUACCGGAGUAACUGCCGGUACCUUGACGGUACCUGACCAGAAAGCCACGGCUAACUACGUGCCAGCAGCCGCGGUAAUACGUAGGUGGCAAGCGUUGUCCGGAAUUAUUGGGCGUAAAGCGCGCGCAGGCGGUUCCUUAAGUCUGAUGUGAAAGCCCCCGGCUCAACCGGGGAGGGUCAUUGGAAACUGGGGAACUUGAGUGCAGAAGAGGAGAGCGGAAUUCCACGUGUAGCGGUGAAAUGCGUAGAUAUUAGGAGGAACACCAGUGGCGAAGGCGACUUUCUGGACUGUGUCUGACACUGAGGCGCGAAAGCCAGGGUAGUGAACGGGAUUAGAUACCCCGGUAAUCCUGGCCGUAAACGAUGGGUACUAGGUGUUGGGGGUAUCGACCCCUCCAGUGCCGGAGUUAACGCAAUAAGUACCCCGCCUGGGGAGUA
rnacentral:rRNA from 1 species